CGCGUAGGCGGUGAGAUGCGUCCGUUGUGAAAUCGCUCGGCUCAACUGGGCGGGGUCAGCGGAUACGGUCUCACUUGAGCAAGCUAGGGGGCAAUGGAAUUCCCGGUGUAGUGGUGGAAUGCGUAGAUAUCGGGAGGAACACCAGUGGCGAAGGCGGUUGCCUGGGGCUUUGCUGACGCUGAGGCGCGAAAGCGUGGGGAGCGAUCCGGAUUAGAUACCCGGGUAGUCCACGCCGUAAACGAUGUCGACUAGGUGUCGGGGGUAUCGACCCCCUCGGCGCCGCAGCUAACGCAUUAAGUCGACCGCCUGGGGACUACGGCCGCAAGGCUAAA
rnacentral:rRNA from 1 species